CAAGCGAAGAAAAAUGUUUUAUUGGAAGUGAUAAACUACAUAAAAUGGCUUCAAACAAAAUGCGGUCAAAGUCAAGAGAUACAGAAUCAACUUAAACGCCUUUUUGUUGAUUUGAUAAAAUCGGCAGUAACAUUGAAACGCUUAAAAGAUCGAACAAAAGCAACAAAGGUUGACAAAAACACAGACAGUAAACAGAACACCACAACAUCAUGUGCAUAUACGGAAUGAUAUAUUAUACUAACUACGUAUAGAUAGACUCAUUCAUGCAACAACAUUAAAAUGUUUAUAGUUGAACUAUUUUGUAUGCCAUGCAAUAGCAAUGCUAAAUAAUGGUAGCCACGGAAGGCAAUCUGCAAAGCAUAAAUAUGAGUAUUUUUAUAAUCCUACGGUAAAGUGACUUUAUUUUAAGUCCAGGAAUUGCUUUUACAUUUGUUACUUGAUUGAAUGCAUGUGAUGCUCUAUACUCUAUACUGAUUUUCCUGUGUAUGUCGGCUGUCAAAUUAUAUAUAGUUCGUAUCAAUGAAACUUGAUAAAUGACUAAUUCAAGUAAAUGAAAAAUGUUUCCAUUUUUUAAUGACAAAGGUAUAUUUUGAACAAUACAUUUGAAAAGCUGACUAUAAAGUCAUUCAAAUGGUGUUAGAUUUACAUAAUUGUUCUUUAUACAUGUUAUAUGUUUACUGCUAUAUCAAGUGCUAAUUUGCCAAUGUUUUAUUGCAUAUAUUUGACUUCUAACACACAGUCGAAAUAAUAAAGAGAUAUGAUCGUUAAUUUAAUACAUAUUUGCCAAUAAACGUUUUUGCAAAUUA